GAAGGGGAAGGGUGAGGGUAGGGAAAGAAUCUGAAGUUGCAUCACUUGGAAAUACCCAAGUGCUUUGGAGAUGUACGUACAUGUUCAGCUUCCUACUUUUCUCCAGGAAACUACUUGGGAACAGCAAAAUCACCCCAAAAGAAGCCCAAUGACAUCUGCCUGCAAAGUGACCAUGACGCCUUCAUGACAAGGAAAAUAAAUCGGAGGGGGGAAAAGUCUUAUUUGCAAUAAAAGUUUUGUUCUUUCGGAAAACCA